rnacentral:rRNA from 1 species
UACGGAGGGGGCUAGCGUUGUUCGGAAUUACUGGGCGUAAAGCGCGCGUAGGCGGACCUGCAAGUCGGGGGUGAAAGCCCGAGGCUCAACCUCGGAACUGCCUUCGAUACUGCGGGUCUCGAGUCCGGGAGAGGUGAGUGGAAUUCCUAGUGUAGAGGUGAAAUUCGUAGAUAUUGGGAGGAACACCAGUGGCGAAGGCGGCUACCUGGACCGGUUCGUGACGGCUGAUGCG